rnacentral:rRNA from 1 species
CUGGGUUGCUUACUUGGCUGUCUGCAUCCUUCUGUUAACCUUGGUUUCCUUCACCGGAUCCUUGUGGGCUCAGAUACUUUACCUUCGAGAAAAUUAGAGUGUUUCAGGCAAGCUUUCGCUUGAAUUCAUUAGCAUGGAAUAAUAGAAUAGGACUCCCGCAGUUCAUUGGUCUCGUGUGGAGUAAUGAUUAAUAGGGAUAGUUGGGGGCAUUGGUACUUAAUUGUCAGAGGUGAAAUUCUUUGAUUUGUUAAAGACUAACUAGUGCGAAAGCAUUUGCCAAGAAUGUUUUCAUUAAUCAAGAACGAAAGUUAGGGGAUCAAAUACGAUCAGAUACCGUAGUAGUCUUAACUAUAAACUAUGCCGACUAGGGAUUGGAGGCGUGCGAAUUCCGCCUUCAGCACCUUACGAGAAAUCAAAGUCUUUGGGUUCUGGGGGG